ACGUUUUUUCCCACAUUUAAUUCUCCCUUUUAUCUGGUCUUUGACUUUCCCAAGCAAACCCUAUUUUUUUGUUGAAUCUUUUGGUGUGUGUGUUUGAUUGAGAGAAUGGUAGUUGAGUUUGGGGAUAAUCAAUACUCCACCAUUAUAAUCUCUCCCUCUGUAUUCUUCCAGCAGCAGAUGCGCCGGACACCGGCGUCGAUGCCGGCGGUUAACCGACGACCACACCCACCCCACCUUCUUCCACCUCGCACCACCCUUACACGCACACGUAUGGUCUCGAAAGAGAGAGAAAGUGACGAAGGGGAGAGAGAAAUCGGGAAGAGAAAGAGAGCGGCGGAGAUAGGCGGCGGCACCGCCGCUACGGCGGCGGUGAUGGUGGUCGACGAUGAUGAUGAAGACGACAGUCGUGAAACCAGGUUCUCUCCGUCUCAACUGUUUCUUUCCUUUUAGAAAUGAUGACGAUGUGUCGAUGAUGAUGAUGACGACGAUGUGAUUAUGUCAAGGAUGGUGAUGACAGACAAGGCGGUGGUGGUGUGACAAACAAAGAUGUGUUUUGACUUUUGAAAAGGAGGGAGGUGCUCUAAUUUUGGAGCAGGUUAAGAAGGAGGAGGAGGUUGAAGAAGAUGAAUAGUUGUUCUUUAUAUAUUUUUUUUAUUUCUUUAAAUUGUUCAAGGGUAAUAUAGUCAUUUUACACAUGGUUAACAGAGAAAUUUAACAGAGGUUAGGUCAGGGGACCAACCGAGUUCAUUUUUAACAACUUUUGAGAUCACAUGUGUAAUUAGUAAACCACUAGGACCAAGUAUGAAAUUUUUGCAAAUCACAGGGACCAACCAAGCAUUUAACUCUAAAGUAUAUAUAUGUGGUUAACCUAAUUUGGUUCAGCCAAAUCAGCCGUCACACUUCCGUCUCCUCACUAUCACCAUUUACAUAACCCAAACCCAAAUCGCCGUCUGCAAAAUCUGUUACGGUCGUUCUUUAUCGAUCUUCGUAUGUUUGGAUCGACCAACGAGUCUAUGUUAUGAAGGUGUGUUUCUGCUAUAAGAUCCCUUGGUGAUUAUCUUUCCGUUCGUGUUGGAAUUGGUGGUCUCGGAAUUUUAGAUCAUGGCUGAAUUCACUAUGAACCCCGACUCGUAUUUAAAUCGAAUGAGAUUCUAUCUGAUGAGUCAAGUAAAGAGCAUGGAUGUUCCAAUGAACCCAGCUUGCCUAUAUCUCACAAAGUUAUUUCUUUAUUUCUUCUCAAGAAUCCUCAAACAGAAGCUAUAUUAAGAAGAAAAAAAAAGACGAAGUCGAAGACGAAAAAAAGAGGUAUUGACACGCAUUGAUGCGUUGGUUGAUAAAAUCACUAGCCAAACAAAGAAGGAUAAACUAAUUAAGGUAAAAUCAUUGUUGAUAAAGGCUUGGGAUGAGCUAGAUGAGAGUUCAAGUUCUGACAGCAAAUAAAAGACAUCGGAUACAUAUGUAUUACGUGUUAUUGUGAUGUAAAUUGUAUAUUUUAUGAAUUUAAUAUAUUUUUUUAUGUUAGUCCCCUUCA